AGUUUCUAUUUUAUUGUAGUAUUACUAUGCUACCUCACAUUUUAAAAAGGCAUUGGAUACACCUUGUGUUCUUUGAUAGCGCUCAAUUCAUUGUAUUUGAAAACCAAUUGUCAAUACUAAAAGGCAUAAAGACCAACGCCUUUUUUGCACAGAAUUAUUAUAUUCAUCAUUAAGCCUGGCAGUGGAAGAAUCACAGUUUGGACUCACUUUCCAGAAAAUACAGAACUUUAGAAAUUUUGUAGAUGAUAAGAUAAGCAGAAACUACAAUGUUUAACACAAUAUUUCAGAUUCCAAUGAGGUGACUUGUCUGACAAAUAAGACUCAGAUAAAACUGAGCAACAAAAUAAGAUAAAAGAAAAAAAACAUGGGGAUAUGCAGUAGAGAAGAGAUGAAAUUCACAUUUGAAGCUUUGCAAAAAAAAAAACGUUCCAAUACAAGUCCAAAUCUGACACAUAUUUAGCAGGAAGCCCACAAAUAUAAGCUAAAAGUUGUGAGAAAAGUAAGCAUAUUAGAACCCUGAAACUUCAAGCUGUCAGCCCAAAAAACAUCAAUACUUGGUUGCUAAAAAGGUCAAAUCUUCAACACUGUGAACUAUGCCAUGAGUGAAGGUUCAUUCCAAUCUAAUUGUACUAUCACAAUCCAACUAAAGAAACACAAUACAUAAGACAAGGAGCUUUCAAAAUACAAAACUGAAGCAGCAAUAAAAAGAUAGAAGCUAAACAAGACACAGCAAGAAUCAAGACCAUGAAUAUCUCAGGAUGUUAGCAUCUAUUUAAGACGAGGAAAAUGAGAAAUAUAUAUAUUCUGGCAUCAGUUUUUUUAAAACGUCAUUCAAAAUGUUUCCAAAAAAGUUCAACUCUAUAUUUAGAACGUUUUAACCACAUCUUAUUAUGCAGCUUUCAACUUUUCUCAUCAUUCUGAAUUCGUUUUUGAUGAAUUGUUUUUUUCUUUUGAGCUAAUUUACUAGAGUUCAGUCUAAAUUAACUAAUAACACAAAUAUUAACUAAAAGAACAGUUUUAAAGGUUGUUGUGUGCAAUACUAGCUGACCGUUAGCCAUGAAGAGUCCUCGCGGGGAGCUGACGCCUUAGCUUGUUGUCUCCUCCUCGCCCACGUUCACUCCUGAUGAGCAAAUCUAGAUGAAAGUUGUGCAUGGAUCUGCACGCACGGAACGCGUGCCACAGCAGCGCUUCAUGAAAUCCGGUCCCUGCGCUGCCAUCAAGUCACCGAGAGACGGCAGCUCUUCACCUGCAUGUCCGUCUGUCCGCGCACACCCCGCAGCCCGCAGCCCACCUACGGAGAACCGGGCGGGUCGAACCGGAUCCACGUCCGGAACGGAAACGGAUUCAUGAGGAUUCUAGUGAGAAAAACAACAAAAAGUUGAUAUUCCUGACCAGACGAGGGCUAAUCUCUGAUUUACAAAAUAAUAAUGUUAAUAAUGUUAGUAGGCCAGUUUGUUAUCUAUAAGAUGAAAUACACAUGAAAAAAAUAAAAAUGUUGAAAAUAUUAAAGAAUAAAUAAAUAAUUCACACAUU